GGUACUGGUCAAUACAGACCCCAAUAAGGUGGUUACUGGUACUGGUCAAUACAGACCCCAAUAAGGUGGUUACUGGUACUGGUCAAUACAGACCCUAAUAAGGUGGUUACUGGUACUGGUCAAUACAGACCCCAAUAAGGUGGUUACUG